ACCGCUAUUGGAGUUCGAUUAAGCCAUGCGAGUCGCGAGAAAUUAGAUUCUCGGCGUGCCGCUCAGUAACACGUGGGUAACCUGCCCUAUGCUGGAUAAUAACCUCGGGAAACUGAGAAUAAUGAUCCAUAGUUCACUACGCCUGGAACGGUGAGUGGAUGAAAGCUCCGGCGGCAUAGGAUGGGCCUGCGGCGUAUCAGGUUGUAGGGGGUGUAACGUACCCUCUAGCCCUCUACGCGUACGGGUGUUGGGAGACAUAGCCCGGAGAUGGAUUCUGAGACACGAAUCCAGACCCUACGGGGUGCAGCAGGCGCGAAAACUUGGCAAUGCGAGAAAUCGUGACCAGGGAACUCCAAGUGCAUCGGGUAAGACCGGUGCUUUUCUUGACUCUAAAUAGGUCUUGGAAUAAGGGGUGGGUAAGGACGGUGCCAGCCGCCGCGGUAAUACCGGCGCCUCAAGUGGUAGUCGCUUUUAUUGAGCCUAAAACGUCCGUAGCCGGUCUGAUACAUUCGUGGGUAAAUCAACCAGCUUAACUGGUUGAAUUCUGGAGGAACGGCCAGACUUGGGACCGGGAGAGGUGUGGGGUACGCUCAGGGUAGGGGUAAAAUCCUGUCUCCGGGAGGACCACCUGUUGCGAAGGCGCCA
rnacentral:rRNA from 1 species